CUACCAUGGCUUUUACGGGUAACGGAGGAUUAGGGUUCGAUUCCGGAGAGGGAGCCUGAGAAACGGCUACCACAUCUAAGGGAGGCAGCAGGCGCGUAAAUUACCCAAUGCUAAUUCAGCGAGGUAGUGACAAGAAAUAACGGGUCGGGGCUAUGCCCUGAGACUGCAAUGAAGUGAAUUUACACCCCUUGGUUGAGUAACAAUUGGAGGGCAAGUCUGGUGCCAGCAGCCGCGGUAAUUCCAGCUCCAAUAGCGUAUAUUAAAGUUGUUGCAGUUAAAAAGCUCGUAGUUGGAUUUCUGGUUGAAAGCCGCCGCCCUCCCGCGAGUGCGCGGAGGCUCUCUUCCAUCCUUCUGUUAAACCUUCUCGGUCUUUGUUGGCCGGUUGGCAGCCCAGAUAUUUUACCUUGAGAAAAUUAGAGUGUUUCAGGCAGGCUUGCGCCCGGAUACAUUAGCAUGGAAUAAUGGAAUAGGACUUUUGCCUCUUCUGUUGGUCUGAGGGGUCGAAGUAAUGAUUAAUAGGGAUAGUUGGGGGCAUUAGUACUUAACUGUCAGAGGUGAAAUUCUUGGAUUUGUUAAAGACUAACUUAUGCGAAAGCAUUUGCCAAGGAUGUUUUCAUUAAUCAA
rnacentral:rRNA from 1 species